UUCCUAGUGUAGCGGUGAAAUUGGUAGAUAUCGAAGAGAACCCCAGUGGGAAGUCGACCAACUGACUAAUAUGACACUGAGAUGCGAAGCGUGGGGAGCAAACAGG
rnacentral:rRNA from 1 species